GUCUAUGGCCGUGCUACCCUGAACAUGCUUGAUCUCGUCUGAUCUCGGAAGCUAAGCAGGGUCGGGCCCGGUUAGUACUUAGAUGGGAGACCACCUAGGAAUACCAGGUGCUGUAGGUG
rnacentral:rRNA from 1 species